GAUGAACGCUGGCGGCGUGCCUAAUACAUGCAAGUCGAGCGUACAGACGAGGAGCUUGCUCCUCUGACGUUAGCGGCGGACGGGUGAGUAACACGUGGUUAACCUACCUAUAAGACUGGGAUAACUUCGGGAAACCGGAGCUAAUACCGGAUAAUAUAUUGAACCGCAUGGUUCCAUAGUGAAAGACGGUUUUGCUGUCACUUAUAGAUGGAUCCGCGCCGCAUUAGCUAGUUGGUAAGGUAACGGCUUACCAAGGCAACGAUGCGUAGCCGACCUGAGAGGGUGAUCGACCACACUGGAACUGAGACACGGCCCAGACUCCUACGGGAGGCAGCAGUAGGGAAUCUUCCGCAAUGGGCGAAAGCCUGACGGAGCAACGCCGCGUGAGUGAUGAAGGUCUUCGGACCGUAAAACUCUGUUAUUAGGGAAGAACAAAUGUGUAAGUAACUAUGCACGUCUUGACGGUACCUAAUCAGAAAGCCACGGCUAACUACGUG
rnacentral:rRNA from 1 species